UGGGGAAUUUUGGACAAUGGGGGAAACCCUGAUCCAGCCAUCCCGCGUGUGCGAUGAAGGCCUUCGGGUUGUAAAGCACUUUUGGUAGGAAAGAAACGUCAUGGGUUAAUACCCCGUGAAACUUACGGUACCUGCAGAAUAAGCACCGGCUAACUACGUUCCAGCAGCCGCGGUAAUACGUAGGGUGCAAGCGUUAAUCGGAAUUACUGGGCGUAAAGCGUGCGCAGGCGGUUCGGAAAGAAAGAUGUGAAAUCCCAGAGCUCAACGUUGGAACUGCAUUUUUAACUAUCGGGCUAGGGUGUGUCAGAGGGAGGUGGAAUUCCGGGUGUAGCAGUGAAAUGCGUAGAUAUGCGGAGAAACACCGAUGGCGAAGGCAGCCUCCUGGGAUAACACUGACGCUCUUGCACGAAAGCGUGGGGAGCAAACAGG
rnacentral:rRNA from 1 species